UUUGCCAAUGUUCAAUGAGCAAACAGUUGCUUCAUUUUUGUAAAAUUAAAAACUCGCUAAGUCAAGUGUAUAUGAUUAGUAUUACCUCAUUUAUAUUAAUUGUUGUUAAUUUUACCAUUGUAUUCGGAAAAUUGCGAAAGAUGUUCGACUUAAUUGAUUGGUUUUUUGUAUGAAAGCUAAAUAACCGAUGUCAAGGUAGUUAACAACAAUAGUGAUUUACCACAAUUUGUUUAUUGUUAAAAGACGAAUUGUUUAUUUGGAUCGUUUAGACUGGAUUGGAUUGUGAAAAUGGAGGAUUACCAUUACAGUUGCCGUAUCGGAAAACUCAUACAUACUGUACAUGUAAUUUGAUGAUUUGCUGCCUGUUAGUAAUUCAAGAUCUGCUGUUUUUAAUUUCUAUUUUCCUGAUCAUUGUGCUAUCCAUUUUAUCCAAGGUUAACAAUCACCAAUUACGCUUGUAUUGUUGGAACAAACAAGAAAAGCAAAAAUGAGAUUGAUUGAGAGACCUUUUCAACUUGUAAAUGACUCUAAUUUAGAUUGAAGAGAACCUUUAUGAAUGGCUUUAUUCAUGGCGAAAUUUUCAUCUUUUUCGUGUUUUGUGUUGGUGAUCAUUGAUGAUUGCGGAAAUAUUAUCACCAUUAUUAACCAAACUUCCGAUAUUAAUUUGAUUUCACACUUUUGUUUUAUCACAUCAAGAGUUUAAGCACGUUGAUUGAAUAAUCUAAUUUCUUCACCAUCAUCUUCAUCUUGUUCACCUUUCUACCUUUUUACAUGUACUUUAUAUACAUAUUGAUUAAUAUACUCUUUUAACGGUUUUGAUUAUUUA